GUCUGGCCGGGGGUGAUCGCGAUGUGAUCGGUGUUCAGCGGCUUCGUGUAGGCGCCGUCCACGCCCACCACCGUCACAUUGUGGUCCUUGAUUUUCAAGUACAUAAUGAAGUUCAUCAUUGCGUUAACCAUUCUGAUCAGGUAAGUCUUGCCCGCCUCCACACUCAACUUCAAUGUAUCUGCAUUAAUUGCAUCAAACCAAAUUAAUUAGUAAAACUUUUACCCCCUCUGUCCCGGUCAAGACGAUAUAUUUGUUUUUCGGCACGGAAUUUAAGAAGUUGUAGAUUAAUGUUUUAAGUAUGUAAUAAUAAAGUGAUAAAGUAGGAGGGAGAAUGUAAUAAAGUGAUAAAGUAAGAAAGAGAAGAUAAUAAGGGAAUACUUAAUUAGUGUUAAUUAAGUGUUUAAAAUUCCUUAUUUUUGCCAAAUAUAGAAAUGUAUCAUCUUCGUUGGGACGGCCCGAAAAGGAAUAGUAGCAUCUUGGACGGGAAGAGGGAGUAUUUGACUCCUAUUUGUUUGGAUUUUACCUUGUUUUGAGCAGGGAUACAGGUCGCCAGGUUGACCAUUCAUGAGGAAAGCAUCAGGCAAUUUGGCACCGGCUCCUUGGGCUAGAAAAUCCUCGUAAACUUGUUGCACAUCAUCAUUCCACCACUCUCCUGCAUGCAACAUUAAUUAAUAGAAUUCCAAC
rnacentral:lncRNA from 1 species